CGGGGUGUGGCGCAGCGGUAGCGCACUCGCUUUGGGAGCGAGGGGUCGCAGGUUCGAUCCCUGCCACCCCGACCA
rnacentral:tRNA from 5 species